GUGCUCACUUCAGCAGCACAUACAGUAAAAUUGGAAUGAUACAGAGAAAAUUAGCAUGGCGCCUGCCCAAGGAUGACACACAGAUGCAUGAAGCAUUCCAUAUUUGU
ensembl:snRNA U6 U6 spliceosomal RNA